rnacentral:rRNA from 1 species
CUGGCUCAGGAUGAACGCUGGCGGCGUGCCUAAUACAUGCAAGUCGAACGGGAUUAGAGAGCUUGCUCUCUAAGUUAGUGGCGAACGGGUGAGUAACACGUAGGUAACCUGCCCUUCAGCUUGGGAUACCCAGAGGAAACUUUGGCUAAUACCGGGUAACAACAACCGAGGCAUCUCGGAUGCUUGAAAGGCCCUUUUGGGUCACUGAAGGAUGGACCUGCGGCGCAUUAGCUAGUUGGUGAGAUAACAGCCCACCAAGGCGAGGAUGCGUAGCCGAACUGAGAGGUUGAUCGGCCACAUUGGAACUGAGACACGGUCCAAACUCCUACGGGAGGCAGCAGUAAGGAGUUUUCGGCAAUGGGGGAAACCCUGACCGAGCAACGCCGCGUGAGUGAAUGACGGCCCUAUGGGUUGUAAAGCUCUGUUGUAGGGGAAGAACUGUGAGGGUAGUGGAAAGACCUUCACCUGACGGUACCCUACCAGAAAGCCACGGCUAACUACGUGCCAGCCGCAGC